UUAAGGUUGGCAGUGGCAGGGAGGGGAUUUUGAUGGAGGUUCCUGCUUACCUGAAGCCUUCUAAAGGAUCACUGGAGACAAUAGAGCACGAAGAAUAUCAUGCACCAGUAAGGAGAUGAAAGUAAUUACGGCAUAGGAAAGUAAGUUUUUGAAAUGCAAAAAUGAGGAUUUGUCUACUGAUAAUAUCAGUGCCAUGUGCUCUGGCACCCCUGUUUGCAGGAUGCUCUGUGAUCACACAUGAAGCCGUUCCACGCACUCCACCAUCAGCUGCUGCUCUCAUUUACCUACUUCCAAACUGCCCCAAAUCCACCCUGCUCAGAACCAUAAAGCAGAACAGGAUUCCACUAAACCGCUCC